rnacentral:rRNA from 1 species
UACGGAGGGUGCAAGCGUUAUCCGGAUUCACUGGGUUUAAAGGGUGCGUAGGUGGGUUGGUAAGUCAGUGGUGAAAUCUCCGAGCUUAACUUGGAAACUGCCAUUGAUACUAUCAGUCUUGAAUAUUGUGGAGGUCAGCGGAAUAUGUCAUGUAGCGGUGAAAUGCUUAGAUAUGACAUAGAACACCGAUAGCGAAGGCAGCUUACUACAGAAUGAUUGACGCUGAGGCACGAAAGCGUGGGGAGCAAACAGG